rnacentral:rRNA from 1 species
GUCCAGACUCCUACGGGAGGCAGCAGUGGGGAAUAUUGGGCAAUGGGCGCAAGCCUGACCCAGCAACGCCGCGUGAAGGAAGAAGGCUUUCGGGUUGUAAACUUCUUUUGUCAGGGACGAAACAAAUGACGGUACCUCUUGAAUAAGCCACGGCUAACUACGUGCCAGAAGCCGCGGUAAUACGUAGGUGGCAAGCGUUAUCCGGAUUUAUUGGGUGUAAAGGGCGUGUAGGCGGGAAAGCAGGUCAGAUGUGAAAACUAUGGGCUCAACCCAUAGCCUGCAUUUGAAACUGUUUUUCUUGAGUGCUGGAGAGGCAAUCGGAAUUCCGUGUGUAGCGGUGAAAUGCGUAGAUAUACGGAGGAACACCAGUGGCGAAGGCGGCCUGCUGGACUGCAACUGACGUUGAGGCCCGAAAGCGUGGGGAGCAAACAGGAUUAGAUACCCCUGUAGAA